GCCAGAGCCCCGCACGCUCCCCGUGACGUCAUUACGCACAGCACGCAGGUCGCAUAGCAACCACGCCGCGUGUGGCUGUGAGCAGGAAGUGUGCGGCCGGGGCGGACAGUGAGGAUGUGGGUGUGCGGCUGCCGGUGUCUGCUGGUGUGCUCGGUGCUCGCCCUCAGCCUUCCGCCCAGCGCCCGCCCCUCCCCGGGCGGCUCCCCCGUAGCCCCCGCCUCUCCCAGCGCCGCCGGCCCGGGCCCUCCGGGAUCCGUCAGAGGGAACCACACCGGCCCUUCCUCCACCGUGUCCGCGGGCCCCGCCCCCGCCAGGCCCAGCACUCAGAGAGCCCUGGCCGUGCUGGUGGUGGUGAGCGCCGCCGUCAUCGUGUACUUCGUCUUCAGGACCAUCCGGUGAGCGGGGCUGGGGGCUGGGGGGGAGCUGGGGGGAGCUAGAGAGGGGCUGGGGGGGGGCUAGAGGGCUGAGAGGGGUUAGAGGAGCCUGGCACAUGUAUAGGAGAUACAGGGAGCCAGCACGGAUAGGGUGAUAGGGGGAGCCGGCGGAAUAGGGUGCAGGGGAGCCGGGAUGGGGUGAUACAGGGGGCCGGACCAGGGUACAGGGAGCCCGGAUAGGGUGAUAGAGGGAGCCCGGCCCGGAUAGGGUGAUAGAGGGAGCCCGGAUAGGGUGAUAGAGGGAGCCCGGCCCGGAUAGGGUGAUAGAGGGAGCCCGGCCCGGAUAGGGUGAUACAGGGAGCCCGGAUAGGGUGAUACAGGGAGCCCGGAUAGGGUGAUACAGGGAGCCCGGAUAGGGUGAUAGAGGGAGCCCGGCCCGGAUAGGGUGAUAGAGGGAGCCCGGAUAGGGUGAUAGAGGGAGCCCGGCCCGGAUAGGGUGAUAGAGGGAGCCCGGCCCGGAUAGGGUGAUACAGGGAGCCCGGAUAGGGUGAUACAGGGAGCCCGGAUAGGGUGAUACAGGGAGCCCGGAUAGGGUGAUAGAGGGAGCUCCGCCCGGGAUAGGGUGAUAGGAGGGAGCCCGGAUAGGGUGUGAUAGGAGGAGCCCGCCCGGAUAGGGUGUGAUAGAGGGAGCCCGAUAGGGUAUAGAGGGAGCCCGGAUAGGUGAUAGAGGGAGCCCGAUAGGGGUGAUAGAGGGAGCCCGGAGGUGAUAGAGGGAGCCCGAUAGGGUGAUACAGGGAGCCCGGAUAGGGUGAUAGGGGGAGCCCGGAUAGGGUGAUAGAGGGAGCCCGGCCCGGAUAGGGUGAUAGAGGGAGCCCGGAUAGGGUGAUAGAGGGAGCCCGGAUAGGGUGAUAGAGGGAGCCCGGAUAGGGUGAUAGAGGGAGCCCGGCACGCUAAGUUCAGUGUUAUACUCCCAGGGUGCCCGGCAUGCCAAGUUCAGUGUUAUACUCCCCGGGAGCCUGGCAUGCCAAGCUCUGUAAUACUCCCAGGGUGCCCGGCCUGCCAAGUUCAGUGUUAUACUCCCAGGGUGCCCGGCAUGCCAAGUUCAGUGUUAUACUCCACGGGAGCCUGGCAUGCCAAGCUCUGUGUUAUACUCCCAGGGUGCCCGGCCUGCCAAGUUCAGUGUUAUACUCCCAGGGAGCCGGCCUGCCAAGUUCAGUGUUAUACUCUCAGGGAGCCUGGCAUGCCAAGCUCGGUGUUAUACUCCCAUGGUGCCCGGCAUGCCAAGCUCGGUGAUACUCCCAGGGUGCCAUCUUCUCCUGGUGAGUCCUCAUAAAGCCGGGAGCUGACAUUACUGUUGUACUCUCGCUCAUGCAUGAGAGUACAGCAUUGAGGUCUGUGGAGGAUCCCGCAAUAUCACGGGAUCCUCCAUAGACAGUCAAUUUUAUGUAUCGUUACUGGUGAUAGCUGGGGGAUUGACACUUCUAGACAGCGGUAGCUGCGCCCAGUGUCUAAAAUAAAGUCAUGCGUAGGAAAAAUACUCAAGACAAAGUAUUCCCUACUUUAUCUUAUGUUUUUUGUUAGAAAUAAAUGAAAAAAAGAGACCGAUUUCACAAAAGCAUAACUGUUAAUGGCUCUCAAUUGAUUCAUCAACUGUCAUUUAAAAAAAAAAAAAAGUCAUCAGUGAAUACUAUUCUACUAACCUGCUUUCCCCCACUUCCUCUAGCAUGUAAGCCCAUUUAGCAGGGCCCUCAACUCCUCUGUUCCUGUGCGUCAAACUUGUAAUUAUCAGCAUUUUUAUAACUCCAACCUAUUGCGCAGUGCUUUACAAUAUCGUAAUGGGGGACAUUUUUGAUAAUAAAUGAGAUAAUUGCAAAAUGUUACUGUAAUUUAAGGUAUUCUGUGAGGAUAGCUUUCACAGACUACAGGAAUAUACCAGACCAUCACUGGUCAGACACCAUUAAGGAACAUUGCACAAGCAGGGUUAUAAACUAAACUGGGAAAUGGUGUCAAUUCAGUAGGUGUAGUUACGCAAGUUUUAGAUCUAAAUAGUAGAGUUACAAAAAUGUGCUUUGAAUUCCGAAUACCCUGAGCUGAAUUGGAGAGUGUUUUUAUUUUAACUCUUUUAGUCAAAAAUUUGAAAUAGCUUUGCUAGUUAUAUUCAAUUUCCAGUUUGGCGAAUAACCCGGCAUCUGUUUUUAUAGGUUUGAUUCUCUUACAGUCUGUUCAUAGACGUGUUAGUUGUUACCUGGUAGUAUAUAUUUGCACUUAAAGGACACCAUAGCUCGCUGUACUGGUUACAAAAGUUCCAGUUUAUGAGCUUUUAUUCAUUUCCUGAGCUAAUCUCUGCACUGCAGUGCUGAUCGCUGUCAGUCAAGGAGUUAAACCCUGCACUGCCAUGCCUAGCUCAAUGUAAAGAGUAGGUGCGGAGUGGCCCUUAGCUGACCCUAACUAACAAGUCAAACCGCUAGUAUCAAAGUAGAACUGUCACCUGCUGUUUUAAAUAUAGGUAAGUUCUUCAUUUAAAAUAUAUAUUUUUUUUUUAUUCUGUCAUCAUUCUUCUGAAAGCUGCUCUUUCCUUUUUGAGAUCUUUGUACAAACUGAAGAGAGAUAAUUACCCAAAGCUCUUUUUUCCUGACAUAUGGUAGCAGUACAAUAGGGAUGUACUCUUCCCUCGGAACAAGCAUCUGAAAUAAAUAAUUAACAUAAAAAGUACCUCCCUUUUUCCAGGUAAAAGAGACCCAACCAGCCCAGGGACCUCAGUUCUCUUUCUUGUUCCAACAGAAACGGAUGGCAUGUGGAUGGUGAGGCACAUGGGUUGCUGACAGGGGAAUCCGGUCUGAUAGCCUCCCGGGUGGAGAGCUGAAUGGCCAGAAAACAUCCUGCAGAUUACGGAGCAGGUAUGUAAACCUGCUUUUAUGCCGAGUGCAGUCACCGGCAAAGCAGGGAGGCGGUCUCUAGUGGCAGCAAAUCACUGCCCGUUGGAGACGCAUGCGCACGGCGGUGGAACGCACGCCUGGGUGGUUUUGCGUUCCACCGGAGUUCCGACCACGCUAUUGCGCAUACGCGGUCUUAACUCCCCGAAAUGGUGCCAGAUUUAAAGCGGAUCUGACUAUUUAUGCUGUGCAGAUCUUCCUGUCAGCAUGGAUGCUCGGCAAGGUCUCCCAUGUCACCAACCCCCCUCCCCCACACGGGUCAGAGGUUUUAGAGGUAUGAUUCUUUAGACUCUCAUCUUUAAAACUUUCUCUAUUUUUAUUUUUUAUUUUUUUUGUUUCUACAAAAUGAUUUAUUGCUUAUGUAUUACAGAUAUGUCUAGUCCUGUCUCUACUGAUAAUUAGAGAUGUCGCGAACCGUCCGCGAACUUCUCGCGAACGGUUCGCCGCGAGCUCUUCGCUGUGAACUCCGGUCAGCUGACACGUCCCGGCCAAUCUCCAGCAGACCCUCCCUCCCAAACCCUCCUACUUCCUGGACAGCAUCCAUAUUUCAACAUGGAUGCUGUCCAGGAAGUAGGAGGGUCUGGGAGGCAGGGUCUGCUGGAGAUUGGCCGGGACGUGUCAGCUGACCGGAGCUCGCCGCGAACCGUUCGCAAGAAGUUCGCGGACGGUUCGCGACAUCUCUACUGAUAAUAUGAAUAAAGACAAAGUGCCUACACCUGCUUCUAAAAAGCCAGUUCCGAAGCUAAACAUCUCUGUUGUAGUGAAUGCUCUACUCCUUUACCAGAUGGUUUUAAAAGGAAAGUCUGUAAUGUUUGCUCUUCCUUGACGCUAGAAAAAUCCAAGCAACAAGAGAUGAAAUCCUUUUUUUGUCUUGGUUUCAGGAUAAUCUGGCCGAGACUUUUGAGUCUUUUAAAUAUCCUGCUCACAUUUCUCCUGUAAAAGCUACUAAACAGAAGUCUAAAAGGAAGAGAACUCCAUCUAGUUCAGAACUAUCCUCGGGUGAAUGUUCUUUUUCUUAUUCCGAAUCCUCUAGCGACUCUAUUUCUGGGGUUGGAUUUCCUCUUGAUGAGUUGAGAAAAUGUAUUAAAGAGGUUAAUGUUAUCCUUUCUGAUGAAACGGUAGAUAAAUCCAACGGUAAAGCACUGCCAGUCCAACAAAAAAUGCGGGAUGAACCCUGAGAAAAGGCCUUUUGUCUCCAGACAUUUUAAAAGUAUUGUUAAAAUAGAGGAGGAAGAUAAAUGGGAAGAAUUGCCGGUGGUUGAUGUAAAAGUGGCUCAAUUGUCUAAAAAAACGACCAUACCUAUUGAAGUUUCUGAUCUGAAAGAUCCUAUGCAUAAGAGGGCUGAAACUUCCAGCAGAAGGGCUUAUCAGGCUGCAGGUUUUCAGGCUAAAGCAGCAUUAGACAGGGCUUCAGUGGUGAGAGCUCAGAAUCUUUGGCUUAACACUUUGGAAGGUGAUAAUCAAGACAAAGGUCUUUCCCUCCUGUUCCAGAAUUUAAGGUUGUCUGAGUACCUUAUGGAUAUUGUCACUGAGGUGAUUAAAGCUUUCGGCUCGUGUCAUGAGUUUGACAUGUGGCCUGAAGGCCACUGUGGCUUAAAGCCUGGAUAGCAGACACUGCAUCAAAAUCUGCAUUAUGUGAACUGCCUUUGGAGAAGAAAAAGUUGUUUGGUUCUCCUUUAGAAGAGUUAAUCCGACAAAUGUCGGAAACCAAGAAGGCCCUGCCUCAAGACAGGAAAUAUGCCUGGAAACCCAGGUAUAGAAAUUUCCAGUUCAAAAACCAUAGGGGUUUUCAAGAAAAAACAAGUUUUUUUUCAUCAACAAGGAAAAAAUCAAGAUUUGACACACAGAGACCUUAAGUCUGACAGAAACUUGUUUUGUUCAGUUGUGAUUUUUCGUACUUGACCUUGGCUUUGUAUCUGACUCCGUUUAUCUCUUUAUCCCUGUUUUGUCUUGUUUGCCGGCUUACUGAUUACUGUGUACCAGACCUUGGCUAGUUCUUGUUUUCGCUGUCUCUUUGUACCCUUGACCUCGGAUCGUUCCUGACUCUGUAUUUCUCUGCUCUACGUCGAGUCCGGCCAUUUUAAGGACUCGACGUAGAGCAUCUGCUCUAUAUUGUCAUUUGUUGGACUAAAUCUUGCGAGUUGGGGUAAACUACCGUGACAUUAUAUAGGGCCAUGGACCCCGCAGAUUUAGCUCAGCAAAUGGCUUCUCAUGAGGCUAGAUUUGUAGAGCAGGAUCACCGUAUGGAUCAGAUAGCUCAGGCCCUCCAGACACUCUUAUCUAGAACUACUCCGGUAACCGUACAGGCUCCUCCUGCACCCUUUGUCCCAGAUGUAUCUACCAUGCCUAAUGCUUCUGCACAUUUAAACCCUCCUCCUAGGUAUGGAGGGGAUGCUAAGACAUGCAGGGGAUUCAUUAAUCAAGUGGAAUUCCACUUUGAGAUGUAUCCACAUUCCUUUCCCACUGAUAGGUCUAAAGUUGGGUUCCUUAUGCACCAACUUACUGAUAAAGCACUUGAGUGGGCAAAUCCUAUUUGGGAGGCUAAUGGACCUAUGGUGCAUGAUUUCGAUAGCUUCCUUACGGCUUUUCGUAGAACCUUUGAUACAACUAAAAGGUCGAAGAAUGCCGCUAGGGCAUUAAUGAGAAUUAAACAGGGAUCUAGGUCUGUUGCUGAUUAUGCUAUUCAGUUUCGUACCCUUGCUUCACAGGUAGAUUGGACCAACAAUGGGCUAACUACUGCAUUUAUGGAAGGUCUAUCUGACAUUAUAUUGGAUGAGGUAGCGGCUAGGGAUCUUCCUAUCCCAUUAGAGGACCUUAUCGACUAUGUCAUUGAUAUAUAGACAAUAGGAUUCGUGACAGACUCUAUACUAAGAAUAGGAAUAGACGUUUUGUUACAUUUAAAUACUCCUAGAGUUGCUAAUCCUGAGAGUUUCAAGGUAUCAGAGGAGGAACCCAUGCAAUUAGGGGUUGCCAAACUCUCUGAUGCUGAAAAAUUGUAUAGGAGAAAGGAGGGACUUUGCCUGUACCGUGGUAGGAAGGGCCAUAUGCUAAAAGAAUGUCCCGUGCUUCCAGAAAACUAUCGCACCUAAGGCCAUAUAGGGGACUGGCCUUGGAUGUGAUACCGAAGUCCCCAAAAUUGCCUCUUAACCGAUUACUUCUCCCUGUUUCUCUGCAUAUGGAAAAGAAUUGCAUAGCUGGGAACAUACUAGCCCUUGUUGAUUCCGGGGCAGCUGAGAAUUUCAUAGAUUCUGGUUUUGUUAGGAAACACAACAUACCCAUUAGAGAGUAGACACCCUUGGCUGUUGAGGCCAUAGAUGGUAGACCAUUAUGCUCCCCAGUUAUUACACAUGAAACUGAACCGUUGCAUAUGUACACAGGGAUGUUACACUCAGAAACCAUUCGGUUUCAGGUCAUCACCUCUCCUUCCUCUCACAUCGUGUUAGGGUACCCAUGGUUACUUUCUCACAAUCCCAUUUUUGACUGGGAGUCAGGACAAAUAGUAUCUUGGAGCGAGACCUGCCUAGUGUCUUGUAUCUUUAAAAUCACCCCUUUAAAUUCUAUUAAUGUUCCUACUACUCCUCCUUUGUCUACUGUUAUACCUCCUCAGUACAUGUCUCUUAAGUCUGUCUUCGAUAAAAGGGAGGCUGAAAAAUUACCGCCUCAUAGACCCUACGAUUGUGCUAUCGAUUUAUUGCCUGACACUAUUCCUCCAUGACACGGUUAUCUCCUCAAGAAAACCGUGUCAUGGAGGAAUAUAUUAAAGAAUCUCUACAAAAGGGGUUUAUAAGGAGAUCCUCUUCUCCGGCAGGGGCUGGGUUCUUCUUUGUGUCGAAGAAGGAGGGCGAUUUAAGACCUUGUAUCGAUUAUAGGGGUCUAACUAAAAUCACCAUAAAAAAAUGCUUACCUUUUAAUCACGGAAUUAUUUGACAGGCUCAAACAUGCUACUGUAUUUACUAAACUGGACCUUAGAGGUGCAUACAAUCUAAUACGUAUAAAGAAGGACCAUGAAUGGAAAACUGCAUUCAAUACUAGGAGUGGUCAUUACAAGUACACUGUGAUGCCAUUUGGUCUUUGUAACGCCCCAGCAGUGUUUCAAGAAUUUAUUAAUGACGUCUUACGAGAGUUCAUUCACACAUUUGUAAUAGUGUAUUUGGACGACAUAUUAAUAUAUUCAACAGAUUUGCAUACUCAUCACAUGCAUGUUAAAACAGUUUUGAAAACCCUUCUUGUUAAUGGUCUUUAUUGUAAACUAGAAAAAAUGUUUAUUUAAUCAAUCCGAAGUCCAGUUUUUGGGGUAUUUAAUUUCUGCUAAGGGUUUUCGUAUGGAUCCCCAGAAGCUUUCUGCUGUCAAAGAAUGGCCUCUACCUCAAGGUCUGAAAGCCAUUCAGUGUUUUCUUGGUUUUUCUAACUAUUAUAGACGCUUUAUUAAAGGUUUUUCUUCUGUUGUAGCGCCUAUAACCCGUAUGACUAAAAAGGAUGGUAAUACUCGUGUCUGGUCCCCUGAGGCGCUUGAGGCUUUUGAAUUUAAGACUGCUUUCGCCUCUGCUCCUAUUUUACAGCAUCCUGUCCCUUCUUUGCCUUAUAUUCUUGAAGUUGAUGCUUCUGAUAUUGGGGUGGGUGCUGUCUUAUCUCAAAGAGAAUCACCUGAAAAGCCAUUACAUCCUUGUGGCUUCUUUUCCAAGCAGAUGUCCAAAACCGAAAAGAAUUAUGACCUAGGCAGUCGAGAACUCCUUGCUAUUAUUUUAGCACUUAAGGAGUGGAGACAUCUUUUAGAAGGUACUAAGGAUCCCAUCCUCAUUUUUACGGAUCACAAAAACCUUUCCUACCUUAGUGAAGCCAAGAGAUUGUCUUCUAGGCCGGUCAGGUGGUCACUGUUUUUAUCUCAUUUCAAUUAUAUCAUCACCUACAGACCAGGUGAUCGUAACAGUAAAGCCGACGCUCUGUCCAGACAAUUCGAAACUACCGACAAGCAAGAGUUUCAUACCCCUGUCAUUCCCCCGGACAGAAUAAUAGCUACUACGGUUCUAUCUAUUUCUUCUUCACUCUUGCAAGUUAUACAGGCUAAACAAAACAUGGCACCUAGAGAGAGACCUGCUGAUAAACUGUUCGUUGAUGUUCCCGAAAGACGGGACAUUAUGUCAUUAUAUCAUGACACCAAAACUGCUGGACAUCCUGGUAUUUCUAAAACCUUAUCAGCAGUUUCUAGAUAUUUUUGGUGGGCUUCCUUAUGCAAGGGCUUCAUCGAUUACGUACAGGCAUGUACUACUUGUGCCAGUAUGAAGUCUUCUCAUAGAGUUCCUUGUGGGUUGUUGCACCCGUUACCUGAGAGGCCUUGGUCCAAUCUAUCCAUGGAUUUUAUUGUUGAAUUGCCUCCUUCGAAUGGUCAAACAGUCAUCCUGAUGAUAGUGGAUCGAUUUUCUAAGAUGGCUCAUUUUGUGUCUCUUGUCAAAUUGCCCUCAUCCAAGGAACUUGCUUCUAUCUUCGCCAGGGAGGUGUUUCGGUUGCAUGGUAUUCCUGUAUCGAUUGUAUCCGAUAGGGGUAGCCAAUUUAUUUCCAGAUUCUGAAAAAGCCUUUUGUUCGGAGAUGGGCAUUUCUCUCUCGUUUUCCUCCGCUUACCACCCCCAGUCUAAUGGAGCUGCUGAACGUGCCAACCAAUCCCUAGAGCAGUAUCUUCGUUGUUUCGUAUCCCACCAUCAGAACAAUUGGGCUGAGUUUACUCGUAAUAACGCUGCUCAUGAAUCUUCCGGUAAAAGCCCUUUCUACGUUGUUUAUGGCCGGCAUCCUGUUGUUCUUCCAGCUGCAUUCUCCUUACAGGGCAUGCCAGUUCUGGAUGAACAUUUGGCUGGUUUACGUACGACUUGGGAGCAGGUUCAGCGUUCUUUGGUGGACUCCGCUGCUCGCCAAAAGGUUCAAGCUGAUAAGCAUCGCAGGGCGGCUCCAUCCUAUGUCGUGGGGGAUACGGUUUGGCUUUCCACUCGCAAUAUCCGCCUUCGUGUGCCUUCUAUGAAGUUGGCUCCUCGUUUUAUCGGUCCUUUUCGUAUCUUACAUAAAGUUAAUCCUGUUUCAAAUGCCUUGGAUCUUCCUAGGAACCUACGUAUUCCGAACGUCUUUCACACCUCCUUGUUUAAACUCCUCCUGUGUAACCGUUAUAUCCGGCAUGUUCCUCCUCCCCCUCCUGUUUCUGUGGAGGGUCAUGAGGAAUUCGAAGUAGCUGCUGUGCUUGACUCUCGUUUCUCAGGGGUCGCCUCCAGUACCUGGUGCAUUGGAAGGGUUAUGGGCCUGAGGAACGCAGUUGGAUUUCCGCUGACGCUGUUCACGCUCCUCACCUUGUGCGUUCCUUCCAUUCUCGUUUUCCUGCCAGGCCUGGUCCUCCCCGCAGGUGGACGUGUCUUCGGGGGGGGGGUUCUGUAGCGGUACUUACCUUAUCCGGGGGCCAGCCGAGGUCCUCUAUUCCCGCGGCUCGCUCGGGGCUCGGAUGACGGCGGGCACUGACCGCGAGAUGCGGUCACGUGUCCCGCCUAGCUCUAAGAGCGCGCCGCGCGUCUCUGGCACGCUAUUAAAGGGAAAGUGGGAGCCAAAAACUAAAACGGUCUCCCAUUGGCCCCUGUCAUUCCACAUUCCCCAUACACUCACAUUUUGGGGGCGUAGGUAUGACAGGGGCCAUUCAAAUUAAAUGCUAGGGUAUUUAUACUUACCUCUCCCUUAACUCCCUGCCCUAUCAUGGUUUCUGUUUCUGUUCCAUUUAGCGCUUGUUUUGCUCAGUUGUGAUUUUUCGUACUUGACCUUGGCUUUGUAUCUGACUCUGUUUAUCUCUUUAUCUCUGUUUUGUCUUGUUUGCCGGCUUACUGAUUACUGUGUAUCAGACCUUGGCUAGUUCUUGUUUUCGUUGUCUCUUUGUACCCUUGACCUCGGAUUGUUCCUGACUCUCUAUUUCUCUAUUCUACGUUGAGUCCGGCCAUUCUAAGGUCCGGUAAGACGUAUCUACUCUAUAUUGUCAAUUGUUGGACAAAAUCUUGCGAGUUGGGGUAAACUACCGUGACAGUAUAUCAAGGGGUAUACUCCAGGUUGUUCCUAGUCCCAAAACCGGACAUGUCUUUUCGUCCAAUCUUGGAUCUAAAAAACCUGAACAAACUCAUUCCUUAACAACAUUUCAGAAUGGAAACCAUAGCGUCUGUCACCCUUUUCCUUCGAAACUUUGGCAACUUUGGAUCUAAAGGAUGCCUACCUGCAUAUUCCUAUGGAUGUGAAAUCAAGAAAAUACCUGAGGUUUGCUAUAAGGAAAGGGGAAAAGGUCCAUCAUUUCCAAUUCAAAGCCCUUCUAUUCGGGCUAGCUUCAGCACCCAGGAUUUUUACAAAGGUCCUCACACCUGUCACAGCUUUUUUAAGGAUGCAAGGAAUCUGUCAUUUUUUGGUAAAAAAUUGGGCUUCUGAUCCUCUCAUUAGGAGAUUUUUUAAAGCUGUUAGACUCGUAAAGCCUCCUAAGAAAAUCUGUUUUCCCUCUUGGGAUUUGUCUUUAGUUUUGAAAUCUCUAUGUACUGAGCCUUUCAAACCUUUGGAAGAAGCUUCAUUGAAGAAUCUGUCCCUGAAAACAGUGUUUUUGGUGGCCAUUAACUCGGCUAAGAGGAUAGGGGAACUCCAGGCCCUUUCUUCCUCUCCUGACUUUACAAAAUUUCUUCCGGAUAAAGUGGUUAUGUACCCUAAGCCUUCCUUUCUUCUGAAAGUCAUCUCCUCCACGGUUAUAAACCAACCUAUUUUUCUUUCUUCCUUCCUUUAAUGGUCCAUCUAUGCCAGAUUGGAAAUUUGAUUGGAGCCAACUAGAUGUGGGUAGGUCUCUGAAAAUCUACUUGGAACGCUCCUCUACGUAUAGGAUGACUGAUCAUCUAUUCCAAGGCCACUUUAGCUAGAUGGCUGGUGGAUACUAUUAAAUUGGCUUAUUCUUCCUCGAAUCUACCUAUGCUUUCCUCCUUGAAAGCACAUUCUACUAGAGCCAUGGCUGCCUCUUGGGCCAAAAAAGCGUGUGCCUCUCCGGAAGAUAUAUGCAAGGCGGCUACCUUGUCUUCUUUCAACACUUUUGUCAAGCAUUACAGGCUAGACGUAUUCUCUGCCUCUGAUGCUGAUUUUGGGCACAAGGUGUUACAAGCUGUUAUUGCCUAACUUCCUGCACUUAGUAUGGGAUCUCGAUAUAUCCCUAUUGUACUGCCACCAUAUGUCAGGAAAAACUGUAAUUUUACUCACUGUAAAUUCCUUUUUCGUUAAUAUGGUGGCAGUGCAUCACUCCCUCCCUUUAUGUAUAUAUUUUAUAUUUGGGUGUUCUAUGGAUUCACUGUUAUGUUCUUGGUACGUACUGAGGUCCCUGGGCUGGUUGGGUCUCUUAUACCUGGUACGGGGAGGUACUUUUUAUGUUAAUUAUUUCAGAUGCUUGUCCCGAGGGAAGAGUACAUCCCGAUUGUACUGCCACCAUAUUAAGGAAAAAGGUUUCUUGGGUCUUGCCUUCUUUCUCCUGAUGUGCAUGUUCAGCUUCUAGUGUUCCUUCUGGAGGAGCUCUGUCACUAUUGUAUUCUUAUCUCACAAUGAAUGAUAAGCCUUUACCCUGCAGACAUAGUUUCACGUUUUGUCAUAGUGGGACUUUACCUUAAGGCAAAAUGGUCUCUUCUUUGUUUUAUGAUAUUUUUGAUUGUAUUGAAAUAACUGUGAAAUCACAGUGCAGGCACCAACAUGCAUAUCAUGUACCUUAAGGUGUUACACCUUUAAUGAUCAGUUUAACAGCAAACUUUGGGAGAUUAAUCCCCCAGUCUUUGCCUUCCCAGUUACUUCCUUUCUUACUGAGCAUUCUCUGUGCUGAAGCAGCGUGUGCUUAUAAAAUUGCAGCUUUUCAGUGGAAGACAUGCGCACUCUACCACACCACACCUUCAAUUUCAUGUCUGAGUUACAUCCAGGAAGGUGUUUCUGACCCCAGCUAUAAGUGCAGAUUUCUAUUGACAUAAGCACUUUUACAAAAUGUCGUGAAAAAAUGGCAGGAUUCCUUUUAAUAUUGAAGCAUUAUUGGAUUUCCUAACUAAUUCUCCACUCCAUAUUAAAGCUAUAGUGGUCAUGGUACCAUAGGCACCCUAGCACUGUCCCACGGUAAGAUAUCAAACUGCUUUAGUAUGUUUUUUACAACUUGCAUGCAGGUUUAUACCUUGCAUCUGGUCUUCUUAAUUAAGGAUAAUUAAUAUUGCUCCAUAGAACAAGGUAGUCAAGCAGAACCGCACUCAUUGGCUCAGAGUGUCUGGAGAAGAUUGGAUGCAGAUGAUGCGGGUGCUCAUUGAGAUCUAAAAAGACUUGACAUCUUACCAUAGGGUGGCACUAGGUUACUUUUGGCAUCAUAACAGCAGGCAGAGGUGAUUAUGGUACUGCAGUUUUCAUUUAACUUUUUCUAGCACAUGCCUUGACUGGGUAACAGGGCCGUGGAAGUUCCUGCAAAAACAAGAAAGCCUUAACUCAUGUUAGGGUUUGUAGAAGAGUAUAACCUCUUGGUUUACAUUUUAUAUCAUAAUGUAACACUUAAUCUUUUAUUAUUACUAAUAUUCUAUACCUGUUAUAUCAGUAACUAAUAGCUGUUUCUAUUUUGUUUCAGCAACUAACAUAAUUUUAAUUAUAUUUUAUUGAAGGACAAGAAGGAAGAAU
rnacentral:lncRNA from 1 species